GUCGAGAAUUUUUCUCAAUGGGGGAAACCCUGAAGGAGCGACGCCGCGUGGGGGAUGAAUGGCUUCGGCCCGUAAACCCCUGUCAUUUGCGAUCAAACCUUACGACCUAACACGUCGUGAGCUGAUAGUAGCGGAAGAGGAAGGGACGGCUAACUCUGUGCCAGCAGCCGCGGUAAUACAGAGGUCCCAAGCGUUGUUCGGAUUCACUGGGCGUAAAGGGUGCGUAGGCGGUCGGGUAAGUCUGACGUGAAAUCUUCAAGCUCAACUUGGAAACUGCGUCGGAUACUAUUCGGCUAGAGGAAUGGAGGGGAGACUGGAAUACUUGGUGUAGCAGUGAAAUGCGUAGAUAUCAAGUGGAACACCAGUGGCGAAGGCGAGUCUCUGGACAUUUCCUGACGCUGAGGCACGAAAGCCAGGGGAGCAAACGGGAUUAGAAACCCCAGUAGUCC
rnacentral:rRNA from 1 species